rnacentral:rRNA from 1 species
AGAGCGGUAGCCCGGAGAUGGGUACUGAGACAAGGACCCAGGCCAUACGGGGCGCAGCAGUCGCGAAAACUCCGCAAUGCACGAAAGUGUGACGGGGCUACCCCGAGUGCCAUCCGCUGAGGAUGGCUUUUCCUCGGUGUAACCAGCCGGGGGAAUAAGGAGAGGGCA